AUGGAGAUUGCUAGAACGGCCAUUCGCUGUGGUAGGCAUGCCAUCCGCUGGGUCUUUCCGGUUCCUGGGCCCUGGAGCAGCCUAGGAGGUCUGCAAGCCUGUGUCCUCCCGAUGAGCUCCAGGCCUGUGGAGUGCGCAGGAUGGGUGAGUUGCUGUGGCACACAUGCCUCUGCUGGCUGGGCCUGCCUUCUGGACCCCAGAGGAGCCUUGGAGGGCUGCCAGCCUUGUGUCCUCAUGACCAGCUCCGGGCUUGUGGAUGUUCAGGACAGUAAGUGUUACCUUUGCAACCUGUAG
rnacentral:lncRNA from 1 species